GUACACGCUGUGACUAGCAUAUCAAUAAGCGGAGGAAAAGAAACUAACAAGGAUUCCCCUAGUAACGGCGAGUGAAGCGGGAAGAGCUCAAAUUUGAAAUCUUAAAGGGUUUCCCUUUACGAAUUGUAGUUCAAAGAAGUGUUUUCUGUUGAGGUUUUGGUAAAAGUUCUUUGGAAUAGGACAUCAUAGAGGGUGAGAAUCCCGUAUUUGACCUUUACUUUCAACUUUGUGAUACACUUUCAAAGAGUCGGAUUGUUUGGGAAUGCAGUCCAAAAUGGGUGGUAAAUUUCAUCUAAAGCUAAAUAUUGGCGAGAGACCGAUAGCGAACAAGUACCGUGAGGGAAAGAUGAAAAGAACUUUGAAAAGAGAGUUAAACAGUACGUGAAAUUGUCAAAAGGGAAGCGUUUGACACCAGUGUUGUUUUUCUGAAAAUCAAUUAAAGAACUGUUUAUGCUAAGUUGUUUAGACUUUAUCAGCUAACUGUUUAGUUUUGAGCUUUUCUUUAAUGCACUUUUCAGUUAACAAGUCAACAUCAAUUUCUUUUGCUGUAAAAAAGCUUGAGGAAGGUGGCUUGAGAUUCGUCUUAAGUGUUUAUAGCCUCUUGCCUAUGCAGUCGGAGAGAUUGAGGUCUGCAGCGUAGAUCCUUCGGGGCUAAAUGCAUUUGUGCUAAGUUAUAGCAUUUUAUAGACAACUUGUUGACUAUGAUUUGUCUUGUAGCUUACUCGCUUAUGUUAUUUUACCUACGCUUAGGAUGUUGAGUCGUAGAGCACGCA
rnacentral:rRNA from 1 species